rnacentral:rRNA from 1 species
UGGGGAAUAUUGCACAAUGGACGGAAGUUUGAUGCAGCGACGCCGCGUGGAGGGUGUAGGCCUUCGGGUUGUGAACUCCUUUUUCUCGCGAAAAAGGCACAGUUUUGGCUGUGUUGAUGGUAGUGGGGGAAGAAGCGCCGGCUAACUACGUGCCAGCAGCCGCGGUAAUACGUAGGGGGCAAGCGUUAUCCGGAUUUACUGGGUGUAAAGGGAGCGUAGACGGCGAAGCAAGUCUGAAGUGAAAACCCAGGGCUCAACCCUGGGACUGCUUUGGAAACUGUUUUGCUAGAGUGUCGGAGAGGUAAGUGGAAUUCCUAGUGUAGCGGUGAAAUGCGUAGAUAUUAGGAGGAACACCAGUGGCGAAGGCGGCUUACUGGACGAUAACUGACGUUGAGGCUCGAAAGCGUGGGGAGCAAACAGG